AAGAAAGGGGUUCCUUCUUUUGAACCCUAAACUCACUAUUCGAUCAAAAUCAGAGGGAAAACAAGCUAGGAAUUUGGGGCUUUUACUAAAUUCGCGAUCACCAAGACAAGGGGGUUGUAAGUUUGAUCCCGUCAAGCUAAGUGGGAGCUGGCAAGGAAUGGAUCAAACGGGUCAAGUGCGCAAGGAAAGCUCGAACGGACGCAAACCUCAUGUGUUUUCAGGGGCGAAUAGUAAUUUGGGUAAUUGCGUCGCCAUAAGAAU